AAAUAAAUGAUAUAAUGCAAAAUCGUCAUAUAAAGGAAUGCAGUUCAGAUUACACCAGAACUUAACUUCUGCCACGCAGAAAAAUCUCGCCGACAACUCAAACACGACGUAAACUCUGUUAGAUCAUUCUUGUCCAAAACUGCGCAAAUAGUCAUGGACCUGUUGCACCUUUACGAGUGGAUCGAUAUCAAGACUAUUUUGUUAUUCUCGCUUGUGUUUUUAUUAUUACUAAGUGAUUAUAUCAAAAAUAAAGUGCCGAAAAACUUUCCUCCUGGUCUUUACCGAUUAUAGGAGACCUUCAUCAUAUCGAUCACAAGAAGAUACAUCUUCAGCUGCAAAAGUUUGCAAAAAAAAUACGGAAAUAUUUUAGGCAUUCGAAUUCUCGGACCAAGAAUUGUUGUCUUGAUCAGGUACAAAACAGUGAGAGGCGUAUCUAGAAGAGGGCGACAACCUGGCUGAUCAACCCAAGUUACCCAUAUUUUAUGACAUUUUUGGAGACAAAGGUUUAGUUACUGCUAAUGGC